GGCUUUCUACGACAAUCCUUACUUGAUGUAUUCUGUAUUUAUUGAUGGAUUAUUUAUACGGGAUGUUCUGAUACUUACUAAGCCUAUUACUAACUCAAAGUUUGAUUAGUUGCAAGUUUUAUGUGUAUCAUGGUCUUUGUUCCUUCUAAAAAUUGAUUCGUAAGAAGGUGAUUGUAUAUUUUUUUUUUUCCAGUUGAUUGGCAGCUCUACUAGUGAGAUCUUAAAAUGAGUAAGAGAAAAGCAAUAUGCCCUAAUUGAUUUUACAAAAAGGAAACCUAAUGUUUUCCCAAAUAAGAUGGUGAGCUUUCAAAAGAGAAAGAUAACACGAUGAAAACAGUAGCUGCCAUUCUUGCAAAUAUUCCACCUUUAGGAAACAUUGGCCCUUUUGUUAGUUCUCCAUAUCGAAAGCAUAUAGUAAUUUAGUCGGCUACAUUGUCUCUCGGGAUAACAGUACAGACUUCUCUAGUUGUCAAAGAUCAUUGCUCACUUUUAUUUCAUCCGACGUUUACUAGAACUGGAUAUAGGUUUCCCAUGAUUGUGUACCUCAAUUCCAAUCAUCAUGCUUAGUGGAAAAGAAUUUUUUUUUUUAAUAGACAUAAAUUCUUUUUGAAUGUGUCCAAUUUUUUAAUAAUCAGAGAUCAGUGCGUUGCGUACUCUCAAACUAUUUGCUUUUUCAUCUUUUAAUUUCUG